rnacentral:rRNA from 1 species
CGAGGAUUCCCUUAGUAACUGCGAGUGAAUGGGGAAAAGCCCAGCGCUGAAUCCUUCAGCCACUGGCUGCUAGGAAUUGUAGCGUAUAGGUGCGGCUGUCCGCUCGUUUCGCGCACCCAAAGUCCCCUUGAGCGGGGCUAUAGUCCAAAGAAGGUGCUAGACCUGUACGGGUGGCGAAGCGAACGGUUGGUUGCUCCUUGGAGUCGGGUUGCCUGGGAUCGCAGCCCAAAGUUGGUGGUAGAUCUCAUCUAAGGCUAAAUAUGGCCACGAAACCGAUAGCAAACAAGUACCGUGAGGGAAAGUUGCAAAGAACUUUGAAGAGAGAGUUCAAGAGGGCGUGAAACCGCUGAGAUUGAAACGGAUAGAGUUGACGGAACUCAGCUGCAUUCAUCCGAUCGGCCGAAUGGCCCGAUAGUGUUCGCAUCCUCGAUGAGGGCAACAUUUUCGGUAACUAUUCGGUAAUUGAUCGGUGUAUUUACGGCUGGUAUGCGCUGAGAGCUUUGUGAUCGCGUGUUAACGGGUAUGCAGUGGACCAUUCCUUCCGGGCGUGGAACCCUUCAUACCUUUAGGCAUGUCGGUUAUAAAGUUUUGAACGUGGCGUCUCCGCUAUUGUGCGUCGGCUUAUGCGUGCUAUUGUGAUUAUCGAGUAUUCGCAUGCGAAUAUUUGUAAUUGGCAAUGGCGCGACAAAAGUGCGGACGCGUUGAGACGUGCAUCUCGGUGUGAACGUUGACCACCUAUCCGA